AAUUGGCAGGAAUGAUGACUGAAUUAGAUAUGUGAAGGAGAUAUGUUCUCGAAUGAACUUAUAUUUUUGAGGUUUAUUGAUAUUCUGACCUGCUAAAC